GAGGACAGUGGACACACAGUUUAACAUGAUGGACUAUAGGACAGGACUGUUGCUUUUAACUCUCUGCUGGGCAGGUGUUGAUGGUCAGACUCUGACUGAAUCUGAACCAGUGGUUAAAAGACCUGGAGAAUCUCACAGACUGACCUGUACAGCCUCUGGAUUCACAUUCAGCAGCUCCCACAUGGCCUGGGUCAGACAGGCUCCUGGAAAAGGACUGGAGUGGAUCGCUUUUAUCAGUAAUGGUGGUGUUAGCAUCUACUACUCUCAGUCAGUCCAAGGCCGGUUUACCAUCUCCAGAGACAACAGCAGACAGCAGGUGUAUCUGCAAAUGAACAGUCUGAAGACUGAAGAUUCUGCUGUUUAUUAUUGUGCUCGAAGCAGUGGCUGGGGUUACCAUGCUUUUGACUACUGGGGAAAAGGCACGAUGGUCACAGUCACAUCAGCCACUUCAACUGGACCAACUGUGUUUCCUCUGAUACCAUGUGGUUCUGGAGACAUGGUCACUCUUGGCUGCCUUGCCACCAGCAUCACACCCUCCUCACUGACUUUCACAUGGAAUAAAAAUGGGGCUGCCUUGACGGACUUCAUUCAGUACCCUCCAGUGCUGAAGGACAACGUCUAUACAGGAGCCAGUCAAAUCCAAGUGAGGAGACAGGACUGGGACGCGAGGGAGGCUUUCCAGUGUGCUGUGACACAUGCUGCAGGAAAUGCACAAGCUGACAUCAUAAAGCCAAAGGACCGGUUGCCAAUUCUUGAAGUGUUGGCCUCCUCCUCUGAUGAAGGUGAGGCUUCCUUCUCCUGCUUUGCAAAAGACUUUUCACCAAAAGCUCAUGAGAUUGAAUGGCUGCAAAAUGGAGAGGAAAUCACCAAAAAAGUGUAUGAGCUCAAAACACCUGCUGGGGAAAGAAAGGACGACAAUGGAACUAAGCUGUACAAUGCAGCAAGUUUUCUCAAAGUGCAGUCCACUGAUUGGCCUGCUGAUGUUAAGUUUACAUGUAAGUUUAAGGGGAAAAAUGAUACAGAAGUUAAUUCAACUGUGACCUACAAACAUUGUGUCAAUGGUGACAAACCAUGUACUGAGCUAGACGUGGAUGUAAAGAUCGAAGGCCCUGCAACAGAGGAUCUGCUCAUACACAAAAAAGGAUAUAUAAAAUGUGAAGUCAAGGUAAACAGGCCAUCUGUUGAGAAAAUUUAUUGGGAGAACCAGGAUGGAGAUGAAAUGGCUGAUGCUGUAAUGACUCCCACUAAUAGAAGAACGGGCACAUUUACCCUUCCACUUGAGAUCACGUUUGAAGAAUGGACCCAGGGAGUAAAGCGCUCCUGCGUUGUUGAACAUAAAGAUUGGUAUCACCCACUGAAGACCAGAUAUGAGAGGAAUAUUGGAGGACAGACUCAGCGUCCUUCAGUGUUUAUGCUACCACCAGUAGAACAGACUAGCAAAGACAUAGUGACCCUGACUUGCUAUGUGAAAGACUUCUACCCUCAGGAGGUGUUCGUCUCUUGGCUUGUUGAUGACGAGCCAGCAGACUCAAAGUACGACUUCAGUACCACAAACCCUGUAGAAAACAAUGGAUCCUAUUCUGCUUAUGGCCAGUUAUCACUCAGCCUUGAGCAGUGGAAAAACAAUGGCGUGGUGUACAGCUGUGUAGUUUACCAUGAAUCUGUGGCUAACAGCACUAAAGCCAUUGUCAGAUCCACUGGACAAAGAACAUUUGAAAAUACCAACCUGGUCAACCUCAACAUGAACAUCCCUGAAACAUGCAAGGCCCAGUAGAUGUUAUUUUGUGUCACUGUGUGUUCUGCUGUUUGUUGUUUAAUGUUUGUUGCUUGUGAUAUGACAUUGUGUUUGUCUCUUUAAUGCAGAUUCAAAAUCAAAAUAAAAAAAAAAGCUCUUUGCAACUCUGUUGUUGUUUGUCGCAUGCAUGUCAUGUCCUAAUUCAACCAAUAUUUUGAGGUACAAGUUAAUUGUAAGUGCACAGUAACAGUGCAAUCCUAAUGCAACACAAACUAGCUGUAGUUAUUGACAUGUUUCUCUUUUAAAGCACAGUUACAACAAUAUAUAUCAAACUUUCUGUAAUCAAUAGAAAAAUGUUGCACCACAACCCAAUAACUUUGGCCAAACAUUCAUGUAGAUGGUGCAUAGACACUGUUUGUGUGACUUGUCUUUGUUUACAUGUGUUUAACUCUACUGGGUCUUGCAUCCCCAACACAACACAGAUUAUUGUUUCAGGACUAACUCCAGCUCUGUGGUCUCUCAGUCAAAUGAUGAAUAUACUGAGUCACAAGCCAAGUCAUGCAUUCCACACCUUUAAUGGGAUCUUUUAAAAGCAAGUCAGCAUCACUAUAGGACCACUGUAAUCAACACAAUUAACGUUUUAGAAGGACAUGCAAAACUAUUAGGUUUUGUGUGGUUGUCAUUUUAAUAGUUGGACGGACAGACGGACUGACCUCUGAAGCUAUAAAAUGUUUUGCUGCAGCUCAAUAAUAGAAUGUAUUGGUCAUUGUUUCUUGAGCUUUUGUUCAAAGCUGUGUGUGGACUGUCCCAGGUAUUAACUGAAUAAUUAUUGCACAUUACAUCCAGAUUACAUCCUGAUUGUAAAUAACAACCAAACGGACAGUGCCAUGGAGACAGAA